rnacentral:rRNA from 1 species
UCGAGGGGCAGCAGGUCCGUAGCAAUACGGAUGCUGGCGACCGGCAAACGGGUGCGGAACACGUACACAACCUUCCUUUAAGUGGGGAAUAGCCCGGGGAAACCCGGAUUAAUACCCCGUAAUAUAAUGAGGUGGCAUCACUUUAUUAUUAUAGCUCCGGCGCUUGAAGAUGGGUGUGCGACUGAUUAGGCAGUUGGCGGGGUAACGGCCCACCAAACCUACGAUCAGUAACUGGUGUGAGAGCACGACCAGUCACACGGGCACUGAGACACGGGCCCGACUCCUACGGGAGGCAGCAGUAAGGAAUAUUGGUCAAUGGACGCAAGUCUGAACCAGCCAUGCCGCGUGGAGGAUGAAGGUCCUCUGGAUUGUAAACUUCUUUUAUCUGGGAAGAAACCCACGAAUUCUUUUGUGGUUGACGGUACCAGAUGAAUAAGCACCGGCUAACUCCGUGCCAGCAGCCGCGGUAAUACGGAGGGUGCAAGCGUUAUCCGGAUUCACUGGGUUUAAAGGGUGCGUAGGUGGGCAGGUAAGUCAGUGGUGAAAUCUCUGGGCUUAACUCAGAAACUGCCAUUGAUACUAUCUUUCUUGAAUACCGUGGAGGUCAGCGGAAUAUGUCAUGUAGCGGUGAAAUGCUUAGAUAUGACAUAGAACACCAAUUGCGAAGGCAGCUGGCUACACGAAUAUUGACACUGAUGCACGAAAGCGUGGGGAUCAAACAGGAUUAGAUACCCUGGUAGUCCACGCCCUAAACGAUGGAUACUCGACAUACGCGAUAUACUGUGUGUGUCUGAGCGAAAGCAUUAAGUAU